rnacentral:rRNA from 1 species
AGAGUUUGAUCAUGGCUCAGAGUGAACGCUGGCGGCGUGCCUAACACAUGCAAGUCGAGCGGGGUUACUGCCGUAGCAAUACGGCGUGUGCCCAGCGGCAGACGGGUGAGUAACACGUAGACAAUCUACCUUCCAGAGGGGGAUAGCUCGCCGAAAGGCGAGGUAAUACCGCGUACGAUCAGGACCCGGCAUCGGGAUCUGAUGGAACGUCCGCAAGGACGGCUGGAAGAGGGGUCUGCGUCCUAUCAGCUAGUUGGCGGGGUAACGGCCCACCAAGGCAACGACGGGUAUCCGACCUGAAAGGGUGACCGGACACACUGACACUGAGACACGGGUCAGACUCCUACGGGAGGCAGCAGUGAGGAAUUUUGGACAAUGGGGGAAACCCUGAUCCAGCGACGCCGCGUGAGGGAUGACGGUCUUCGGAUUGUAAACCUCUUUUGCCUGGGAAUAACCGCCCCGUAGAAAUACGGGGAAUGAAUGUACCAGGCGAAUAAGCCACGGCUAACUUCGUGCCAGCAGCCGCGGUAAUACGAAGGUGGCAAGCGUUACUCGGAAUUACUAGGCGUAAAGGGCAGGUAGGCGGUUUGGUUAGUCUGUUGUGAAAGCUCCCUGCUUAACGGGGAGAGGCCAACAGAUACUGCCAGGCUUGAGUAUGGGAGAGGGUACUGGAAUUCCCGGUGUAGCGGUGAAAUGCGCAGAGAUCGGGAGGAACACCGAUGGCGAAAGCAGGUACCUGGACCAUUACUGACGCUCAGCUGCGAAAGCUAGGGGAGCAAACAGGAUUAGAUACCCUGGUAGUCCUAGCCGUAAACGAUGCACAUUAGGCGUGAGGGGUAUCGACCCCCUUCGUGCCGAAGCAAACGCAUUAAAUGUGCCGCCUGGGGAGUACGGCCGCAAGGUUGAAACUCAAAUGAAUUGACGG